GAUGAACGCCAGCGGCAGGCUUAAUACAUGCAAGUCGAGGGGUAGCAAGAUUGUAGCAAUACAAUUGUUGACGACCGGCAAACGGGUGCGGAACACGUACACAACCUUCCUACAAGUGGGGAAUAGCCCAGAGAAAUUUGGAUUAAUACCCCGUAACAUAGCGAUGUGGCAUCACAUUGCUAUUAUAGCUUCGGCGCUUGUUGAUGGGUGUGCGGCUGAUUAGAUAGUUGGCGGGGUAACGGCCCACUAAGUCUACGAGCAGUAGCUGAUGUGAGAGAAUGAGCAGACACACGUGGUCUGAGAUACGGGACGGAGGCCUAAGAGAGGCAGCAGUAAGGGAUAUUGGACGAUGUACGUAUGUCAGUUUCAGACGUGCCGCUUGAAGGUUUAUGGUCCUCUGAAUUGUAAACUUCUUUUAUAAGGGGCGAAUAGAAGUCUUUCUAGAUCGUCGGCCGGUACCUUAUGAAUAAGCGCCGGCUAACUCCGUGCCAGCCGCCGCGGUAAUAC
rnacentral:rRNA from 1 species